rnacentral:tRNA from 1 species
UGCAUCGGCCGGGAAUCGAACCCUGGCCGCCCGCGUGGCAGGGGAGCAUUCUACCACUGAACCACCGAUGC